rnacentral:rRNA from 1 species
GCGCGAAACCUUUACAAUGCACGCAAGUGUGAUAAGGGAAUUCCAAGUGCUCAAGCACAGCUUGGGCUUUUGUUAUGUGUAAAUAGCAUGACGAAUAAGUGGUGGGCAAGACUGGUGCCAGCCGCCGCGGUAACACCAGCGCCACGAGUGGCAAUCGCGUUUAUUGGGCCUAAAGCGUCCGUAGCAGGUUUUGUAAAUUUCUUGUGAAACUGCCAGGCUUAACUUGGCAAUGUGCAGGAAACACUGCAAGACUAGAGACCGGGAAGGGUCGGAGGUAUUCCUGAGGGAGCGGUAAAAUGCUAUAAUCUCAGGAGGACCACCGGUGGCGAAGGCGUCCGACUAGAACGGAUCUGACUGUGAGGGACGAAAGCUAGGGGAGCAAACCGG